GUCUGAAUUGUGUUUUCCAUCCUCCCGAAUUUCCCUCUCCUGUUUUCCUGCUUCUCCUGCCUGUGGAUGCCGUGCUGGGCUCCAGCAUUCCCAGGAUUUCCAUUCCCUGAUCCCAGGGGAUCCAGGCAGCUCCUGCAGCCUCGGGAGGAGCCCCUGGGGCUGGGAAGGGACCAGAGCCAUGAAAAACCUGAGAGGAGCCACCCAUCACCCCUCUUCCUUUGGGAUUGCAUCCCAGUCCUUCGGGAGUCCAUGUGGGACACCUUUGGGAAUCCACGUGGGAGCAGCUGAGACCUUUCUCCUUUUUCCUUUUCCUUUUCCUUUUCCUUUUCCUUUUCCUUUUCCUUUUCCUUUUCCUUUUCCUUUUCCUUUUCCUUUUCCUUUUCCUUUUCCUUUUCCUUUUCCUUUUCCUUUUCCUUUUCCUUUUCCUUUUCCUUUUCCUUUUCCUUUUCCUUUUCCUUUUCCUUUUCCUUUUCCUUCUCCUUUUUCCUUUUUCCUUUCCUCAGGGUUUGGGAUCCGGGAUUUGGGAUGGGGGCUUUGGGGUGUGGAAUUUGGGAUGGGGGGUUUGGGAUCUGGGAUUUGGGAUGGAGGAUUUGGGAUGCAGGAUUUGGUAUUGGGGGUUUGGGGUGCAGGGUUUGAGAUGGGGGGUUUGGGGUGUGGAAUUUGGGAUGGAGGAUCAGAGUUUGGGAUGGAGAAUUUGGGGUGCAGGAUUUGGGAUCUGGGAUUUGGGAUGGAGGAUUUGGGAUGCAGGAUUUGGGAUCUGGGAUUUGGAAUGGAGAAUUUGGGGUGCAGGAUUUGGGAUGCAGGCUUUGGGAUGGGGAGUUUGGGAUGUAGGACUUGGAAUGGAGAAUUUGGGGUGUGGGAUUUGGGAUGCAGGAUUUGGGGUAUGGGAUUUGGGAUGAGCAGUUUGGGAUGCAGAGUUUGGGAUGGAGAAUUUGGGGUGCAGGAUUUGGGAUCUGGGAUUUGGGAUGGAGGAUUUGGGAUGGGGGAUUUGGGGUGCAGGAUUUGGGAUACAGGGUUUGGGAUGGGGGGUUUGGGGUGCAGGAUGGGAUGGGGGGUUUGGGACGCAGGAUUUGGGGUGCAGGAUUUGGGAUGGGGGGUUUGGGACGCAGGAUUUGGGGUGCAGGAUUUGGGAUGGGGGGUUUGGGACGCAGGAUUUGGGGUGCAGGAUUUGGGAUGGGGGGUUUGGGACGCAGGAUUUGGGGUGCAGGAUUUGGGAUUUUCCUCGGGCGCUGCUGGCCCUGCGCCUCCCGAGCAGGAAUUCUCCUCUCCAGCCCGGAACAAUGGCCCGUCCUGGUCUCCUUAGAAACCGCGGCUCCGCUUCCCUCGGGCAGCCGCGCGUCCCCCGGAGCGGGGGGGGGGGGGGGGGGGGGGGCGUCCCCCGGAGCCCCCUCCCGCUCCCGGGGCUUCUCCCGGCGGCGGCUCUCUGCAAUUGCUCCCGAUUUCUCCAACUUCUGUGUGUUUUGGGUUUUUUUGGUUUUUUUGGGUUUUUUUUUGUGGUGUCGCCUCACCGGGGUUUUGACGAUUCUUGUGUCUCCUUCCACCAGCAAACCUCAGGGAAUCUUUUGAAUUCCGCCCCCAUUCCUCCCUCCCUUCCCCUCCCCAACCCAAACGUCGCUCCCGGUGUUUCCUGGAAACGCGAAAUUUUCCCGCAGCUUUCUCAAACUUUCGGGGCUCCGUGAGGAAAAGUCUCCCUCAUGGAUUUUGGAGGGUUUUGGGAAGCAGCUCCUUGGCUGGAUGUGGGAGCUCAUCCUGAAGCUCGGCCAGCAGCCAGCUAAGCUCUCCCAGAGCUCUGGAGAACGGAUUUAUUUGGGGAAUAAAUAAAUUUUGGGAAGUACAAACCCCGCUCCGGGGGCAGGACCUGUCCUGUGAGGGUGGGGAGGAAUUUUUGGUGCUCUGGAUUCGGAGAGUUUGGGGAGAAAAGGGAAGGGAAGUGGCUUUUUUUGGUCUUUUCUGGAGGAGGGAAUGUUCCAGGGGAAGUGGGAGACAGAAAUCCCAGAUGUCAGGGAAGGGGAGGAGGUUGGGAAUGCCCCAAAAAUAGGAGCCUGAAAUUUGGAUAUGCGGGAAUUGGGAUUACCCAGCAGCUGGGAAUGCCCGAAUAGGUGAGAGACUGAAAUCUGGAUUCUUGGGGAAAAGGAGGAAAUUGGGAAUAUCACAAAAACAAGAGCCUGGGGUUCGGGUUCCUGGGGAAAAGGAGGAAAUUUGGAAUACGCAGCAGCCGGGAAGGGAGUCUGGGCGUGCGGGUCCCGGCAGCCCGAAGCUGGAGCCCGUUCCCAGUCCUGGAUCGCGGCCAUCCCUCAUUCCCGCCCCCUGCGGACACUUCCAGGAAAAACUCCGGCCCUGCCUCGGUGCCACCGUCAGUGUUUUAUUCCCGGCCCGGGGCGGUUUCUGAUCCUUCCCUGGGAAUGGAGCCCCCGGUCCGAGCUCCCGUCCCGCCCCGUGCCCCGGAACGGCGGCGCCGGGGGGGGGGGGGGGGGGGGGGGGGGGGGGGGGGGGGGGGGGGGGGGGGGGGGGGGGGGGGGGGGGGGGGGGGGGGGGGGGGGGGGGG
rnacentral:lncRNA from 12 species